UUUGUAUGAUGAAUCUUUCAAUCAGUUCUGCUUCCGAAAGCGAGGGCAACCUCCUAGUGGACAACCUCAUACCAAAACUCUCAAUUCUGAUCU
rnacentral:snoRNA from 1 species